UCCCAAGUGGCUCGUGAUGUUUUGGCAGUACCUGUCUCAACUGUAGCAUCAGAGGCAGCAUUUAGCACUGGAGGACGAGUACUUGAUCCUUUUAGGAGUUCGUUAAGUCCUAAAGUUGUGGAGGUUCUCAUUUGUGGUCAAGAUUGGCUUCGCAAUUCUUCUACCGCAGUUGAUGUUGAGGAACUUUAUGAAGAUGUCCAAAAAAUUGAACAAGGUAUGCAAAAUUUGGUAGUGCAAGCUCCAACAAAUUAAUCAAUCUCCAUUAUUUGUUGGGACUUGAAAGCUAUUGAAGAUGAUUCGACGAAUGUUUAUUGAUUUUGAGUUUUGUGGUUUUGUGAACAUUGAAAUUAUGGACUCUUUCCUUGAUCAUUUGUUGCUAAUUUGUUGUUGAUUUGAUGGAUAUUUAGAAACUCUUUAGUUUGUUGGCUAUCGAUGUUCUAGUAUUUAAUUUGGUGAGUGUGAUGAAUGGAUUCAAUACUUAUGCAAA